rnacentral:rRNA from 1 species
CAGUAGCCACGGUAAUACAGAGGGUGCAAGCGUUAAUCGGAAUUACUGGGCGUAAAGCGCGCGUAGGUGGUUUGUUAAGUUGGAUGUGAAAGCCCCGGGCUCAACCUGGGAACUGCAUCCAAAACUGGCAAGCUAGAGUACGGUAGAGGGUGGUGGAAUUUCCUGUGUAGCGGUGAAAUGCGUAGAUAUAGGAAGGAACACCAGUGGCGAAGGCGACCACCUGGACUGAUACUGACACUGAGGUGCGAAAGCGUGGGGAGCAAACAGGAUUAGAUACCCCCGUAGUCCCUGUCUCUUAUAC